AUGUGGUUGAACCUUGUGUCCUUACUAGUAGUCCUCAAAGGUAUCCAGUCUCAAGAACAGUUGGUAGAAUCCGGUGGAGAUGUGAGAAGACCUGGAGAGUCCCUGAGUCUCUCCUGCCAAGCCUCUGGAUUCACCUUCAGCAGCUAUGGGAUGAACUGGGUGAGACAGGCUCCUGAGAAAGGACUGGAAUGGGUUGCAGGCAUCUACUCUGAUUCCAGUGGAAAGUUCUACUCUGACAAAGUGAAGGGCCGCUUUACUGUCUCCAGGGACAAUGCCAAAAGCCAGCUGUAUCUGCAAAUGAAUAGCCUCAAAGCUGAAGACACAGCAGUCUAUUACUGUGCAAGACACAGUGAGAGGAA